rnacentral:rRNA from 1 species
GGUUAAGCGACUAAGCGUACACGGUGGAUGCCCUGGCAGUCAGAGGCGAUGAAGGACGUGCUAAUCUGCGAUAAGCGUCGGUGAGGUGAUAUGAACCGUUAUAACCGGCGAUUUCCGAAUGGGGAAACCCAGUGUGUUUCGACACACUAUCAUUAACUGAAUCCAUAGGUUAAUGAGGCGAACCGGGGGAACUGAAACAUCUAAGUACCCCGAGGAAAAGAAAUCAACCGAGAUUCCCCCAGUAGCGGCGAGCGAACGGGGAGGAGCCCAGAGCCUGAAUCAGUGUGUGUGUUAGUGGAAGCGUCUGGAAAGGCGCGCGAUACAGGGUGACAGCCCCGUACACAAAAAUGCACAUAUUGUGAGCUCGAUGAGUAGGGCGGGACACGUGGUAUCCUGUCUGAAUAUGGGGGGGACCAUCCUCCAAGGCUAAAUACUCCUGACUGACCGAUAGUGAACCAGUACCGUGAGGGAAAGGCGAAAAGAACCCCGGCGAGGGGAGUGAAAAAGAACCUGAAACCGUGUACGUACAAGCAGUGGGAGCCUCUUAAUGGGGUGACUGCGUACCUUUUGUAUAAUGGGUCAGCGACUUAUAUUCUGUAGCAAGGUUAACCGAAUAGGGGAGCCGAAGGGAAACCGAGUCUUAACUGGGCGUUAAGUUGCAGGGUAUAGACCCGAAACCCGGUGAUCUAGCCAUGGGCAGGUUGAAGGUUGGGUAACACUAACUGGAGGACCGAACCGACUAAUGUUGAAAAAUUAGCGGAUGACUUGUGGCUGGGGGUGAAAGGCCAAUCAAACCGGGAGAUAGCUGGUUCUCCCCGAAAGCUAUUUAGGUAGCGCCUCGUGAAUUCAUCUCCGGGGGUAGAGCACUGUUUAGGCAAGGGGGUCAUCCCGACUUACCAACCCGAUGCAAACUGCGAAUACCGGAGAAUGUUAUCACGGGAGACACACGGCGGGUGCUAACGUCCGUCGUGAAGAGGGAAACAACCCAGACCGCCAGCUAAGGUCCCAAAGUCAUGGUUAAGUGGGAAACGAUGUGGGAAGGCCCAGACAGCCAGGAUGUUGGCUUAGAAGCAGCCAUCAUUUAAAGAAAGCGUAAUAGCUCACUGGUCGAGUCGGCCUGCGCGGAAGAUGUAACGGGGCUAAACCAUGCACCGAAGCUGCGGCAGCGACACUAUGUGUUGUUGGGUAGGGGAGCGUUCUGUAAGCCUGUGAAGGUGUACUGUGAGGUAUGCUGGAGGUAUCAGAAGUGCGAAUGCUGACAUAAGUAACGAUAAAGCGGGUGAAAAGCCCGCUCGCCGGAAGACCAAGGGUUCCUGUCCAACGUUAAUCGGGGCAGGGUGAGUCGACCCCUAAGGCGAGGCCGAAAGGCGUAGUCGAUGGGAAACAGGUUAAUAUUCCUGUACUUGGUGUUACUGCGAAGGGGGGACGGAGAAGGCUAUGUUGGCCGGGCGACGGUUGUCCCGGUUUAAGCGUGUAGGCUGGUUUUCCAGGCAAAUCCGGAAAAUCAAGGCUGAGGCGUGAUGACGAGGCACUACGGUGCUGAAGCGACAAAUGCCCUGCUUCCAGGAAAAGCCUCUAAGCAUCAGGUAACAUCAAAUCGUACCCCAAACCGACACAGGUGGUCAGGUAGAGAAUACCAAGGCGCUUGAGAGAACUCGGGUGAAGGAACUAGGCAAAAUGGUGCCGUAACUUCGGGAGAAGGCACGCUGAUAUGUAGGUGAAGCGACUUGCUCGUGGAGCUGAAAUCAGUCGAAGAUACCAGCUGGCUGCAACUGUUUAUUAAAAACACAGCACUGUGCAAACACGAAAGUGGACGUAUACGGUGUGACGCCUGCCCGGUGCCGGAAGGUUAAUUGAUGGGGUUAGCGGUAACGCGAAGCUCUUGAUCGAAGCCCCGGUAAACGGCGGCCGUAACUAUAACGGUCCUAAGGUAGCGAAAUUCCUUGUCGGGUAAGUUCCGACCUGCACGAAUGGCGUAAUGAUGGCCAGGCUGUCUCCACCCGAGACUCAGUGAAAUUGAACUCGCUGUGAAGAUGCAGUGUACCCGCGGCAAGACGGAAAGACCCCGUGAACCUUUACUAUAGCUUGACACUGAACAUUAAGCCUUGAUGUGUAGGAUAGGUGGGAGGCUUUGAAGUGUGGACGCCAGUCUGCAUGGAGCCGACCUUGAAAUACCACCCUUUAAUGUUUGAUGUUCUAACGUGGGCCCCUUACCGGGGUUGCGGACAGUGUCUGGUGGGUAGUUUGACUGGGGCGGUCUCCUCCUAAAGAGUAACGGAGGAGCACGAAGGUUGGCUAAUCCUGGUCGGACAUCAGGAGGUUAGUGCAAUGGCAUAAGCCAGCUUGACUGCGAGCGUGACGGCGCGAGCAGGUGCGAAAGCAGGUCAUAGUGAUCCGGUGGUUCUGAAUGGAAGGGCCAUCGCUCAACGGAUAAAAGGUACUCCGGGGAUAACAGGCUGAUACCGCCCAAGAGUUCAUAUCGACGGCGGUGUUUGGCACCUCGAUGUCGGCUCAUCACAUCCUGGGGCUGAAGUAGGUCCCAAGGGUAUGGCUGUUCGCCAUUUAAAGUGGUACGCGAGCUGGGUUUAGAACGUCGUGAGACAGUUCGGUCCCUAUCUGCCGUGGGCGCUGGAGAACUGAGGGGGGCUGCUCCUAGUACGAGAGGACCGGAGUGGACGCAUCACUGGUGUUCGGGUUGUCAUGCCAAUGGCACUGCCCGGUAGCUAAAUGCGGAAGAGAUAAGUGCUGAAAGCAUCUAAGCACGAAACUUGCCCCGAGAUGAGUUCUCCCUGACUCCUUGAGAGUCCUGAAGGAACGUUGAAGACGACGACGUUGAUAGGCCGGGUGUGUAAGCGCAGCGAUGCGUUGAGCUAACCGGUACUAAUGAACCGUGAGGCUUAACCUU